rnacentral:lncRNA from 1 species
GAUCUAAUCGAUGCUGCCAUGAAGAUCUAACCGUUAGAUCUAACAUACAUGAUCAAGAAAGUUUAAAAACCAUGAUCAAAUGGAAGUCUCUUGAUCUCUUCUAGUCCAACACUUGGAGAGGCUCUCCUUCAGAUGGUUCACAGCCGCACAAAGUCAUCCGACCUCUACAACAAAUUCACAUGAAGACUGGCAUAGAUCAAAAUCCUUGGAAGUGCUAGCUUGCAAGGAACUCGGAGGCUGAUUUCUUCCCUCUUCUUCAAACACCUUGGAUGCUCCAAAGUAAGAGGAUAUUUGGAGGAGGA